UACGUAGGCAGCAAGCGUUGUUCGGAGUUACUGGGCGUAAAGAGUGCGUAGGCGGUCUUUUAAGUUUGGUGUGAAAUCUCCCGGCUCAACUGGGAGGGUGCGCCGAAAACUGGAAGGCUUGAGGAUGGGAGAGGCAUGCGGAAUUCCUGGUGUAGCGGUGAAAUGCGUAGAUAUCAGGAGGAAUACCAGAGGCGAAGGCGGCUACCUGGACAAUUGCUGACGCUCAGGCACGAAAGCGUGGGGAGCAAAAGGG
rnacentral:rRNA from 1 species